GAUGAACGCUGGCGGCGUGCCUAAUACAUGCAAGUCGAGCGAACAGAUAAGGAGCUUGCUCCUUUGACGUUAGCGGCGGACGGGUGAGUAACACGUGGGUAACCUACCUAUAAGACUGGGAUAACUUCGGGAAACCGGAGCUAAUACCGGAUAACAUUUGGAACCGCAUGGUUCUAAAGUGAAAGAUGGUUUUGCUAUCACUUAUAGAUGGACCCGCGCCGUAUUAGCUAGUUGGUAAGGUAACGGCUUACCAAGGCAACGAUACUUAGCCGACCUGAGAGGGUGAUCGGCCACACUGGAACUGAGACACGGUCCAGACUCCUACGGGAGGCAGCAGUAGGGAAUCUUACGCAAUGGGCGAAAGCCUGACGGAGCCACGCCGCGUGAGUGAUGAAGGGUUUCGGCUCGUAAAACUCUGUUAUUAGGGAAGAACAAAUGUGUAAGUAACUGUGCACGUCUUGACGGUACCUAAUCAGAAAGCCACGGCUAACUACGUG
rnacentral:rRNA from 1 species